CACGUAGGGGCCGAGCGUUGUCCGGAGUUACUGGGCGUAAAGCGCGCGCAGGCGGCCUGUCGCAUCACCGGUGAAAGCCCCACGCUCAACGUGGGAGGGUCCGGUGAGAUGGGCAGGCUGGAGGCAGGGCGAGGCCGGUGGAAUUCCGGGUGUAGUGGUGAAAUGCGUAGAGAUCCGGAGGAACACCAGUGGCGUAGGCGGCCGGCUGGACCUGUCCUGACGCUGAGGCGCGAAGGCGUGGGGAGCGAACGGG
rnacentral:rRNA from 1 species